UGGUGGAGUGAUUUGUCUGCUUAAUUGCGAUAACGAACGAGACCUUAACCUGCUAAAUAGCCCGCGCCGCUUUGGCGGCGCGCUGGCUUCUUAGAGGGACUAUCGGCUCAAGCCGAUGGAAGUUUGAGGCAAUAACA
rnacentral:rRNA from 1 species